AUACUUUAUGAUUUCGGUCGACUUAGUAACAUAUCCUCCCAUCUUUACUUUAUUGACUAUUGACAUAUAAUUUUCAACAUAAAGAAAGGUGUCCGUAAUUUUAUGUCGUUCUUCACAGACCUACGAGCUCACCACGCUGCCACGGAUCACCACGAGCUAAUGGUUACUUGCUUAAAGGAACUACAUUUUAUUCUUUACCUGGAGAACGACAAUUUACUGGUUGAUGCAGAAAGCUACUCGAAUUUUGUGAUCAAUGUGAAUGCAAUUUUUAUUUCCGCUAAGAAGUUAAGUUUUCGGUCUGUUCGUUUUACUGUUAGGAGGAUUAUGCACAAGCGGCCGACCCAGUUUUCCUGAAAGUGGACGGAAAGGUGCAGCGUGGGCCGAGAUAGCACCCAACACAUUUUGGAAACGUCCGAUAAAAAUUGACUGAACAAUGACGAAUGAGUGAUGAAAACUGAAUUAAUUAAUGUCUCAGAGCGGCUAUAGGGGAAAACUCACCUGCACUUUGGGAGCAGACCACGAUUGCUUCCAGUGGGUGCCCGAAGAGAGUUGUGAGGUGGUUCGGCCCGGGCCUCGAGUGUUUUGGUGGCCAGAAAUGGCGCUGCGAGACUUCUGUUGUUGGCGGAGGUCUGCGGUUUCCCAACGCUCUUGUUUUUAAAUGUACUCAAAUUGCAGCUCGGUCGCUUGUGCUGCUGGGUUUUGUUUUUUCAUCGCCGGGGUGCCGGGUCCGCCCCGCGCCCGGCAGCGUGGGACGGGACGCGCCGCCGCCGUCACAGCCAUUCGCUUGUCAUUAAUUUCACUGUUCCUUAUGUGGCGGAGCCUUCCUGAGGGUUAUUGUGUGACACGGCGGGAGUUGACCUUCCAUUGUUUAUUUUUUUACAUUUUUUCUUAUACCUGCAUACAUGAAUAGCUCAUUGAUGUGAAGUGUUCUGGCGCUGCGUCCGCCAUGUUUCUGUAUGAGCUGGUAUUUACAGAUGUGGUGUUACAACCCGAGGAAUGUGUUUAUUGUGGCUGCUCAGGAGAGGAUCCAAAAAAUCUGGAACGUGGGGCGCACGUCCAAAUAGCAAUGUUCGGAGCCGUGCCUUCUUACAGUCUUCUUAAUUUUUUUCCCUGGGUGCGCCUCGUCGCAUCCGAUCUGUCGCACGGGGCCGGGGGGGGGCUCUGGCCCACCCACCCCUCGGAGCCGCGCCUGAUACUCCCUGAGGACAACUUUAUUUUUACAUUUUUAAGUAAAUGAACUAAACCAUAAAUACAUAAAUAAAUAGAUAAAUAAAUCAAAGUACGGAGAGAUCGUAAGACACUAGAUUAUGGUGUUAAUUUACAAUCUAUUGAUUUAUUAUUUUUUGUAUCAACCACAACAUGAAUAGUCUAAACGCAAGGAACUAUUCCAUCUCACAAACGAAACAAAAUAACUGAAUAAGCCAAAGAAAGUAAAAUGAAGAGCCCAAAGGUCACGGCGGGGUCAGCAGCGCGUGAUGAAGGCACUGAGAGGCCGAGGUCAAGGCUCCCGUGCAGCGCCCUGUGAAUUAUCGACACGUCAGGAGAACAGGUUCCUUAAAUUCAUGAAAUCUUCCCUCCUGCUCCCGUCCAGUACCUAUAAACCGAGGCCAAUAAAGAAUGUAGAUAGCGUGUGAUUCCCGGCGGAGUGUAAAAACAUCGGGAAACAAGUUCGGCCACGCGCGACGCAGAAGAGAGUAAGACGAGUUUCCUCUCUGCGUGCCGGUAGAACAUCGACUUUGUGGCUGGUCCAGAUUCCCAGUAACUUAUGCAUUCAUUAACGAAGACUAAUGCCUGUGAACACUGUUAUCAGCGUAUCUGCAUGAAGGUGAAUAUCCUUUACUGUGAAUAAGGACGGGUUGCUGCAGAUCAUGUUCAUAUGGAUAAUAUUUUUUUCUAUCUUUCUCUCUCUCUUCUGCGUCGUAGUUUAUUCUAAGCAAACACGAACGGAAAACAUAUAAAUAAACGAACUCCAAAGACGUGCGAUAACAAUACGGAUAUUCCAUCGACUUCAGUACAAGUUGCCUGCUAUAUUUAUGCUGUGACUUGCAGAACGGGUAUUAAGAGUUCUUCUCCUUCUAGAAGUAGCUUUUAACUUUACUUCGAGAAGAUGGAGUCCCCCUUUAAGUUCAAGUAAAAGGAAGAAUUGAAGGAUGGAUUGCAUUACUCUGCCAUGUAGCAGUUUGGUUACAGCCUCAAAUGAAGGCUAUGUGACAAAGAUUUAAAGUUCAAAAGAUUUUCUGGUAUUUAUCAACUUAUUUGUAAGAGUAUUUGCUUCAGUGUUGAGGAUGAUGUGAACUGCCUGUGUUUUUACAUUUUCGGUGGCUUCUAAGGACUUCUAGAAACAAACUCGCUAUUUCUAAAAGUUAGGAGGAAACUUAGAAGGAAUCUCUACUUUGAAAGCAAAAUAUCACUUUCAAAGUCUUUAUUAACAGGCCCAGGACAUUCAAAAUAACUAACCCUUGGUCUCUUCUGUCAAACAAAUUUUAUUACAUAUACAAAAAGAAGACAAAUGAGUAACAAUAAUUCUUCACACGUGUCUAAACUACUGAAAGAAAUUAUCAUCUUUCUAAGCUAAUCACGGCUCUUCACACCUUGACCGCCAUGUUAUGCACGAAAAGCUGCGAGUCACAUGAGCGUCGAUAUGCGUGUACCUCCGUGACAUCAGCAAGGGUAGCAUCGUAGACAUUAUACUAUCCCCGUUUAUUACUCCUUGAUCCUGGCGGUCUAGCUUAAAGAAUAAACUAGUCUAAGGAAUUAAAUCCACUAUACUACCAAACACAGUGGCUCCUCAGUUCUGUUACAGUGUUAGGGAAGGAAAGGAAGGAAGUGAAAACCUUACUACACUCAUGUUAUCCUGUUUUUGAUGAGUUCAGAAGGGUUACUUUUUCAUGCACGUAGAGUCAGAAACGGAGCGAGACUUUUCCAUGCACGUAGAAUCAGAAACGGAGCGAGACUUUUCCAUGCACGUAGAAUCAGAAACGGAGCGAGACUUUUCCAUGCACGUAGAAUCAGAAACGGAGCGAGACAUGCAAAAGAGUUCAGUGUUGAUGUGCUCAAGGCAUUGGUUAAGGAUGCUAAUUGUACUAGUGUGAUUUGUUUAAUGAAUGCGAGGAUUGGGAUAGAGUUCAAAAUACUAUGUCCAUGCUGGUGUUAAUCUCUUUGUGCUCAGGUUAUGAAGUUAGAAAAUCAUAAACUCAGACUUUUAAUGAAUGCGAAUAUUAGAAUAGAGUUCAAAAUACUACGUCCAUGCAGGCGUUAGUUUCUUUCUUCUCAGGUUAUUAAGUAGGAAAAUUAUACUCCUCUGAACUUUUAAUGAAUGGAAAGAUCAAGAUAAUUAAGAAAAUCACUCAGCCCAUGCAGGCGUUAGUUUCUGUGUUCACGGUUAUUAUGCAAGAAAAUCCUACAACUGUGAUUUUUAAUGAAUGCAAGGAUUAGGAGAAGUAUUGCAGAUAAGCACUUCAGCAGGUGUUAUUCUAUUUGUUCUCCAUCAAAUGUGCAAAUCAUACAACUCAGAUUUUCUAAUGAAUGUGAGGAGUAAAGAGUAAAGUUAAAACAUCUAACUUCAUCCAGGUAAAUAUAUUUCAGCAGGUGUUAAUUUCUUUGUGCCCAGGUCAUUAAGAGUCGUAUUACAAAACAUCUCGUCGCCCAAGAGCACAAAUUUGACAAGGCUUUCGUAGGAGUUGUGGGCAUUUCCUGGAGUAGUUUUAUGACCCUGGUGGUAGUCUGACCCUUCUUCUGUACAAUGAACCUUAAAAACACUCAUUAGAACCCGACUGACGCCCUCGUUGACCUUUAGAAAUAGUUAAUGUGAGAACCGAAAGUGUCUUAUAAUAUCGACCAAGUGUACAAAUUAUACUACUCAUGAUCUUCUAAUGGACGCGAAGAUUGGGAAAGAGUUACAAAAUCCUAAGUUCAUGCAGGUAAGUAUUUUAGGUGUUGUUUUUGUUAUUGUUUUCGGUUAUUGUUCUCGAAGGUUAAUAACUCAGUAACUACUAAACC